GUGUAUUAUGUCUUUUCUUUUAUUUUAGGGAGGAGAGUUCAGAAGUGCCAUAGGAAAACCCAGUUACCCUCUGUGAUGUGUUGUGACGCACGGGGAGAAGGGCAAUACAAAAGAAUAGCCAUGCCUUAAGAGAAGGGUCAAGGUUUUGGGGUGCUAUCAGACCAGCGGUAUGGUGGGAAGGGCACUGAACUGGGAGUCAGGAAGACCAGGGUUCAGAUCUUGCCUCAGAUACUUAAGAACUGUCAUUCUGGCCAAGUCAUUUCACCUCGGGGAGACUCAGUUUCCUCAUCUGUAGAAUGAAGCUAAUAGUUUGCACCAGCCUCACAGGGUCCUUGUGAAGUUCAUACAGAAUGAGGUGUGUAAAGUGCUUUGCUGGUCUUAAGCCCUAUAUUAAUGGGAGCUCUUCUAGUCUUGCCCAGUGGGAUGGCCCACUGUUCUCCACACACUUCGUCUUCUCUCCCAACUCUGUGCCUUUGUGCAGGCUCUCCUCUUGGAGGCCAGGGGCUGUUUAGUUUUUUACUUUGUAUACCAAGCAGCUAGCAUGGGAAUUGAAUCAAAUUCAGACAGUGCAUUGGAGUGGGGAGGAGUCUGUCUUAGCCUUUGAGCCUUUUUGUCGCAUUUGACUAUUUAAAUUAAAAGCUUUACAAUAGGAGAAAAUAAUUUAAAGUCUUUAUCCAUUAUUCCCUUGAAAUUGGAAGCCGGGUAAGCCAUUGACACUGCCUGUCCAGCGGGUCUCCAGUCAGUAUGUUUGGGUAAUCCAGCCUCCCCAGCAGUGUGGCACAGCAGAGCCGACGGCCGCUACAGGGCGGGGACCCGAUCACCAGGACUGCUGGGUGGCCUCCAAGCCAGCCAAGUGGACUUCUGUGAUCUUCCCUUCUCCAGAGUGUCUUCUCCCAAGGUUUCAUCAUAGUGUGCAGGGGACCACCAGUUCUGCCGGGCCCUGCUGGUCUGGGAAGGCUGAGGACGGCCUCGGUGACUCUUCUUCGGCCAGAGCUCAUCCACAGGAGGCUGGCCACCAG